AGCAGUCUACAGGAGCAGCGCUCUGGAUUAUAAUGUCUGUGUGUCUGGUCUCCAUCCUAAUAAUCAUUUGCAUGUGUGUGUUCUGCUGCAAAAUCAAAGGAAAGUCAGUAUUGUCACACAACAGCUGCAGUAACACCACAGACUCCACUGAAAAGGAAGAAAAUAUUCAUUAUGCCAGCAUGCAGUACAAAAGAAGGUCCAGAGCAGCUGCUAAGAAAAACACAGCAUCAGAUUCGGACAGUGUGACCUACGCAACAGUCGCCUCACAGCCUCGGAGACACUGACCAGCACAAGGUGUCACAAAUUUAAUAUUAUCAUACAUCAUAUCAAUAUCAACAUCAUAAAAUGUGCUGUUCCCUCUGGAUCGCUUCUUUAUUUGCUUUAAAUAGGUUAUUUAGUUGACAAUGCAUUAUUUAAAAUGAACUGUUUUGGACUAAAUAUUUGGAAUUAAUGAAUAAAUAUUAUAAGAAUCAUCUGUAUCUUAAAAAAAUCUGUGUGUAUAUAUAAGGCCUAAAUAAACCCAACCUCAUUCACUGAUUUAAAAAGAGUGACCCUGAGCUUCUGGGAUUCUGAUGGAGAUAAAAACAUGUUGUAACUGUUUACUGAUGUCUCUGUCUAUGUUAAUAGUAGAUAAAUAGCUCCAGUUACAAACUCAUGGAAUACUCCAAAGUUAAUUAAUGAUUGAUGUAAUGUCCAUCUUGAGCACUUGAUGUUAAUGUAUAUGUAAAAAUGCACAAAUAAACUGAAAUGAC